UCUCCGUUGGUGAACCAGCGGAGGGAUCAUUACAGGACUCGCAAGACUCCUACAACCCUGUGAACUUAACUAUAAGCACGUUGCUUCGGCGGGUGUCUCGGAGGGGGUUCUCCCUCCCCGAGACGCUAAACCCGCCGGCAGCCUACUAUACUCUGUCUCUUUGCGGUGGCAUCUCGAGUACAAUCAAACAAGUUAAAACUUUCAACAACGGAUCUCUUGGUUCUG
rnacentral:misc_RNA from 1 species